UACGGGGGGGGCAAGCGUUGUUCGGAAUUACUGGGCGUAAAGGGCUCGUAGGCGGCCAACUAAGUCAGACGUGAAAUCCCUCGGCUUAACCGGGGAACUGCGUCUGAUACUGGAUGGCUUGAAUCCGGGAGAGGGAUGCGGAAUUCCAGGUGUAGCGGUGAAAUGCGUAGAUAUCUGGAGGAACACCGGUGGCGAAGGCGGCAUCCUGGACCAACACUGACACUGAGGAGCGAAAGCCAGGGGAGCAAACGGG
rnacentral:rRNA from 1 species